UGAGGAAUAUUGGUCAAUGGACGCAAGUCUGAACCAGCCAAGUAGCGUGCAGGAUGACGGCCCUAUGGGUUGUAAACUGCUUUUAUAUGGGGAUAAAGUGGGGAACGUGGUCCCUUUUGCAGGUACCAUAUGAAUAAGGACCGGCUAAUUCCGUGCCAGCAGCCGCGGUAAUACGGAAGGUUCGGGCGUUAUCCGGAUUUAUUGGGUUUAAAGGGAGCGUAGGCCGUUUGGUAAGCGUGUUGUGAAAUGUAGGAGCUCAACUUCUAGAUUGCAGCGCGAACUGUCAGACUUGAGUGCGCACAACGUAGGCGGAAUUCAUGGUGUAGCGGUGAAAUGCUUAGAUAUCAUGUAGAACUCCGAUUGCGAAGGCAGCUUACGGGAGCGCAACUGACGCUGAAGCUCGAAGGUGCGGGUAUCGAACAGG
rnacentral:rRNA from 1 species